GCUAGAAAACAGCACAGUCAGCCAGCCUGAUCUUAGACACACACUAGAAAAUGUGACUUUGGCAAUAUAUUACAACAUAAAGCACAGAUCUGCAAAUAGAUCUCUAGCUAUUUUUGAAGAGCCAAUACAUCCACUUUCAGAAGAGAAGGCUCCAGGGAAAUCCUUUGAGCAUGAUCCCAAAUGCAACUGUAUUUUCAGAUAUUUCUGUACUCUUUUUCUAGUCAUAAUAC